rnacentral:lncRNA from 1 species
AUGGUGCGCUGCUGGAGAGGCAAUGCUCCCAAGGCUUGGCGUUCUGCUUUCUCCCUCUCGACCUGCAGUCUUGAGAAAGAUACUCAUGUUUCAUGGACAAAUCCAUAGCACGUAACAGACGCUGGUUUCUGGCAUCAACAAUCUCACGAGGCAACCUAUUCAACGCUUCCUUAAUAUCCAACGACUCCAUCGGAUCAUACAAAUCAUCAUAUCGCAAACCUAAACAUCACUAAAUUACCAAAAAGCCCUAAAAAUAUACAAAAUAUGUUGAAAAUCUUACCGUAUUUGCGAAGGCGACUUUCGAUUGUUUUCUUGUGCACAGCAGCGA